AUUGAACGCUGGCGGCAGGCCUAACACAUGCAAGUCGAGCGGAGCGGCGGACGGGUGAGUAAUGCCUAGGAAUCUGCCUGGUUGUGGGGGAUAACGUCCGGAAACGGGCGCUAACACCGCAUACUAUCAGAUGAACCUAGGAAGGAUUAGCUAGUUGGUGGGGUAAAGGCAUACCAAGGCGACGAUCCGUAACUGGUAUGAGAGGAUGAUCAGUAACACUGGAACUGAGACACGGUCCAGACUACUACGGGAGGCAGCAGGGGGAAAUAUUGGACAAUGGGCGGAAGCCUGAUCCAGCCAUGCGGAGUGUGUGAAGAAGGUCUUCGGAUUGUAAAGCACUUUAAGUUGGGAGGCGUUACCAACAGAAUAAGCACCGGCUAACUUCGUGCCAGCAGCCGCGGUAAUAC
rnacentral:rRNA from 1 species